UCAGCAUUUUAAAAGGAUCAUAUCCGCCUGAGUAAAUUAGUUUCUUGUGCACAUUACAUUAGUCCUGUGUUUUCCACACCUUUUUUAUGUAGACAGACAGGGUCUCAAGCCAUCCAUCCAAUUCAGAGAACAGGAUUGUUACUGUGUGCUCUACUGCAGGUGUGGGGCUGUGCUGCUUUUCAUUUAGCUUCCCAAGAGAAAAGGAGGCAGAACAACGUCUAAUAUAACUGAACAAUACACAUCAGAUGUCAAAUAAGGAGACUGCUGCAUUAGCACUUCCGUUUUUUCUUUUGUGGAUAUUUAUUUGAAAGCACAUGCAUUAAGUGCAGCUUCAACUGGAUCGGAGCUUUUCCUGCAUUACAGCACUGCUAUGUUCUUUACAGUUUUAUGAUUUCUAUGUAAAACAAUAACACAACACUAAAAUUCUCUUUUGCUGACCCUGCUGAAGACAGAUAUUACUUCCUAUCAAGAUUUUGGAAAGAUUAAACAGUCUGGAUAUUACACUGGGUCUAAAGUAUGAUGCAGAGUUAGAACUCAUUUCAGUUCUUUGGACCUAAAGUAUAUUGCAUUUGCAGUUGGAACCUAAAAAGCAGACACCAGCUGAGUAUCAUCAAGUGAUUCCUGAGCAACUCCCAGCUAUAGCAAGUGGAGAUGUCCCCGCCCACUCUCUAAACUUGGCAGACUAGAACGCUGCUUCAGAAGCCUCAGGCAAAACAUUUUUGGAUUCUUGGUGUCUCUCCUGAUGUUUCUUUAAAAGGAAGCCUUUGUGUUUUUACAUGAGAAGGGCCUGUUACAGCAAUUCCCGAGUAAAAAGGUAA